UGUGGGUAGGGGUGAAAGGCCAAUCAAACUCCGUGAUAGCUGGUUCUCCCCGAAAUGCAUUUAGGUGCAGCGUCGCGUGUUGCCCGGCGGAGGUAGAGCUACUGGGUGGCUGAUGGGCCCCACAGGGUUACUGACGUCAACCAAACUCCGAAUGCCGUCGGGUUGUAGCGUGGCAGUGAGACUGCGGGGGAUAAGCUCCGUGGUCGAGAGGGAAACAGCCCAGAUCGCCGGCUAAGGCCCCUAAGCGUGUGCUAAGUGGGAAAGGAUGUGCGGUCGCGCAGACAACCAGGAGGUUGGCUUAGAAGCAGCCAUCCUUGAAAGAGUGCGUAAUAGCUCACUGGUCAAGUGAUCGUGCGCCGACAAUGUAGCGGGGCUCAAGCACACCGCCGAAGCCGCGGACCCACAACAGUGUUCCUUUCAUCGUCCCGUCUUGUGCGGGUGGUGGCAGGGGUUGUGGGUGGUAGGGGAGCGUCCUGCACCGGGGGAAGCCUGUGGGUGACUGCUGGUGGACGGUGUGGGAGUGAGAAUGCAGGCAUGAGUAGCGAUACUAGGGUGAGAAGCCCUAGCGCCGAAUGACCAAGGGUUCCAGGGCCAGGCUAGUCCGCCCUGGGUGAGUCGGGACCUAAGGCGAGGCCGACAGGCGUAGUCGAUGGAUGACGGGUUGAUAUUCCCGUACCGGCGAAGCACCGCCCAUGCUGACGUGCGGGUGCUAACCCACGCCCAGCCACCAUGUUAGCCGCGCCUGUCAGGUUCGCCUGACGGUGUGGUUGUGGUGGUGGGGUCUGGGGAUCCUCCGUGCAGGUAGGCAAGCGUGUUAACAGGGGUGACGCACAGUGGUAGCCCGGCGGACCUGAUGGCUUGGUCCGUUCAAGCGCGCAGCCCGUCCUCCAGGUAAAUCCGGGGUGACUGUCUUUGAUGACGGGGGUGAGGCGUGAUGGUGACCUCACGUUGGUGGGGGAUAGCAGGGUGAUCCUGGGGUGCCGAGAAAAGCCUCGACGCGAUGGUGCCAGCCGCCCGUACCCUAAACCGACACAGGUGGUCGGGCAGAGUAUGCCUAGGCGCACGAGUGAAUCAUGGUUAAGGAACUCGGCAAAAUGCCCCCGUAACUUCGGGAGAAGGGGGGCCUGAUCCUUGAAGCCCCGUGCGGGCUAGGGGGGAGGGUCGCAGAGGCCAGGGGGAAGCGACUGUUUACUAAAAACACAGGUCCGUGCGAAGCCGUAAGGCGAUGUAUACGGACUGACGCCUGCCCGGUGCUGGAAGGUUAAGAGGAACCAUCAACCCUCGGGUGAAGUGGUGAAUUUAAGCCCCAGUAAACGGCGGUGGUAACUAUAACCAUCCUAAGGUAGCGAAAUUCCUUGUCGGGUAAGUUCCGACCUGCACGAAUGGCGUAACGACUUCCCCGCUGUCUCCACCAUGAGCUCGGCGAAAUUGCAGUACGAGUAAAGAUGCUCGUUUCGCGCAGAAGGACGGAAAGACCCCGGGACCUUUACUAUAGCUUGGUAUUGGCGCCCGCUAUAGCUUGUGCAGGAUAGGUGGGAGACUGUGAAGCCGUUACGCCAGUAGCGGUGGAGUCGUCCUUGAAAUACCACUCUGGUUAUGGCGUGCGCCUGAACCUGGGCCCGUGAUCCGGGUUAGGGACAGUGCCUGGUGGGUAGUUUAACUGGGGCGGUUGCCUCCUAAAGUGUAACGGAGGCGCUCAAAGGUUCCCUCAGCCUGGUCGGCAACCAGGUGUUGAGUGCAAGUGCACAAGGGAGCUUGACUGUGAGACCGACGGGUCGAGCAGGUACGAAAGUAGGAACUAGUGAUCCGGCGAUCCCGUGUGGGUGGGUCGUCGCUCAACGGAUAAAAGGUACCCCGGGGAUAACAGGCUGAUCCUGCCCAAGAGUCCAUAUCGACGGCAUGGUUUGGCACCUCGAUGUCGGCUCGUCGCAUCCUGGGGCUGGAGCAGGUCCCAAGGGUUGGGCUGUUCGCCCAUUAAAGCGGUACGCGAGCUGGGUUUAGAACGUCGUGAGACAGUUCGGUCCCUAUCCUCUGCGCGCGCAGGAGACUUGAGAAGGCCUGUCCCUAGUACGAGAGGACCGGGACGGACGAACCUCUGGUGUGCCAGUUGUCCCGCCCGGGGCACGGCUGGUUGGCUACGUUCGGGAAGGGUAACCGCUGAAAGCAUCUAAGCGGGAAACCAUCUUCAAGAUAAGGUCUCCGCAGGACACCUCGGUGUCCUGGUAGGCCCCCAGCAGACUACUGGGUUGAUAGGCCAGAAGUGGAAGACCGGUAACGGCCUCGAGCUGACUGGUACUAAUCGGCCGACACAAACAACA
rnacentral:rRNA from 1 species